rnacentral:tRNA from 1 species
GGAGAGAUGGCCGAGCGGUCGAAGGCGCACGCUUGGAAAGCGUGUGUUGCCCUCUGGCAACCGGGGGUUCGAAUCCCCCUCUCUCCGCCA